rnacentral:rRNA from 1 species
GUCGAGAAUCUUCGGCAAUGGGCGCAAGCCUGACCGAGCGACGCCGCGUGGAGGAUGAAGGCCCUCGGGUUGUAAACUCCUGUUGGGGGGGAUCAAUUUUGAGAGAACCCCUGAGGAAGCACGGGCUAAGUUCGUGCCAGCAGCCGCGGUAAGACGAACCGUGCGAACGUUAUUCGGAAUCACUGGGCUUAAAGAGCACGUAGGCGGCGUCGUAAGUCGGACGUGAAAUCCCAUCGGCUCAACCGUGGAAUUGCAUUCGAUACUGCGACGCUUGAGGGAGGUAAGGGCAUGUGGAACUUCCAGUGGAGCGGUGAAAUGCGUUGAGAUUGGAAGGAACGCCAGUGGCGAAAGCGGCAUGCUGGAUCUCUUCUGACGCUGAGGUGCGAAAGCUAGGGUAGCGAACGGGAUUAGAUACCCCAGUAGUCC